rnacentral:rRNA from 1 species
ACAUGCGCGUGAGUGAGAAGCUCGGGUUGUAAGCCUUUGUCAGGAAGAACCCGGCCUAACCAGUCCGGAUGAGGUACCUGAAGAUAACACGGCUACUACGUGCCACACCGCGGUAAUACGUAGGGUGCGAGCGUUAAUCGGAAUUACUGGGCGUAAAGCGUGCGCAGGCGGUUAUACAAGACAGGCGUGAAAUCCCCGGGCUUAACCUGGGAAUGGCGCCUGUGACUGUAUAGCUAGAGUGUGUCAGAGGGGGGUAGAAUUCCACGUGUAGCAGUGAACAUGCGUAGAAAUAUGUAGGACGGCNNAAUACCAAUGGGGCG